UUUGCAGCCAUCACCAAAUGAAUGAGUAGUUCUGUUUCGCUGGCCUUUCAGACCUCUGUUUCCGCCGUUAACUGUUCCAGUACGAGGGGAGACACUGGGAUUCCCAGAACAUGCUGUAUAAUUAUUUCCUGUUCCCAUUAAUUCUUCCCAGAGGAAUAAAGACAGAGAGAGAAUCAGAUAAAUCUGGUCCAAGUAUUUGGAAGGCGCUCUUCCUGUGUGUCUGCCCCCGUUAUCCUGGUACAAUAGAUUUUUAGUUUGAUCUGAGAAGCUAUGGAUGAGGAGAAGGGGACAUGUUGUGAGGACAAAGCUGACAGUCAAGAAAACAAAACAGCAAGAAAGCAACAUGCUCUUGGCUAAAGAACACAAUCUUAACAGAGGGAAAUACGAUCACAAAGCAAGAGAUGCAAUGCAGAGCCUUCAGCAAAACAAAUGAAUGGAUAGCUCCUUCACAGGGAAAGUAUGCACUCCAGACUAUCCAACUCAUGCGUACAUUGAAACUCACUUACGAAGCUGAACAUAUUUCAGUAGGCAUGUAUGGCGAUUUACCUUACAUCCCAUAGGGAUGGAAUGAAUAUUUGAAAAUCGCCGUUGCACCCGUUAUACCAGCACUUAAGCUAGUU